rnacentral:rRNA from 1 species
GACUAUGUCCUUACCAUCCUGAACAUACCCAAUCUCAUCUGUUCUCAGAAGCUAAGCAGGCAGGGUCAGACCUGGUUAGUCGGAUGGAAGAUCUCCAAGGUGGUUACAUUGUCC